rnacentral:rRNA from 1 species
UACAGAGGUCUCAAGCGUUGUUCGGAUUCAUUGGGCGUAAAGGGUGCGUAGGUGGCGGGGCAAGUCUGGUGUGAAAUCUCGGAGCUCAACUCCGAAACUGCACUGGAUCUGCCUUGCUCGAGUACUGGAGAGGAGAUUGGAAUUUACGGUGUAGCAGUGAAAUGCGUAGAUAUCGUAAGGAAGACCAGUGGCGAAGGCGAAUCUCUGGACAGUUCCUGACGCUGAGGCACGAAGGUCAGGGGAGCAAACGGG